rnacentral:rRNA from 1 species
AUACGGAGGAUGCGAGCGUUAUCCGGAUUUAUUGGGUUUAAAGGGUGCGUAGGCGGCCGCUUAAGUCAGCUGUGAAAUGCCCGCGCUUAACGCGGGAAGGGCAGUUGAUACUGGUUGUCUGCAGUGCCGUUGCCGUGGGGGGAAUGUGUAGCGUAGCGGUGAAAUGCAUAGAUAUUACAUAGAACGCCGAUUGUGAAGACACCUCACGAAGCGGUAACUGACGCUGAGGCACGAAAGUGCGGGGAUCGAACAGGAUUAGAUACCCUGGUAGUCCGCACAGUAAACGAUGAAUACUUGUUUUCGGCGAUAUAAUGUCGGAGGCAAAGCGAAAGCGAUAAGUAUUCCACCUGGGGAGUACGCCGGCAACGGUGAAACUCAAAGGAAUUGGCGGGG